CCUACGGGUGGCAGCAGUGGGGAAUAUUGGGCAAUGGGCGCAAGCCUGACCCAGCAACGCCGCGUGAAGGAAGAAGGCUUUCGGGUUGUAAACUUCUUUUUACAGGGACGAAGCAAGUUACGGUACCUGAGGAAUAAGUCACGGCUAACUACGUGCCAGCAGCCGCGGUAAUCCGUAGGUGGCAAGCGUUGUCCGGAUUUACUGGGUGUAAAGGUCGUGCAGCCGGGAAGAUAAGUCAGAUGUGAAAUUCAGUGGCUCAACCGCGGAACUGCAUUUGAAAUUGUUUUUCUUGAGUACCGGAGAGGUCAUCGGAAUUCGUGGUGUAGCGGUGAAAUGCGUAGAUAUAAGGAAGAACACCAGUGGCGAAGGCGGAUGACUGGACGGCAACUGACGGUGAGGCGCGAAAGCGUGGGGAGCAAACAGGAUUAGAUACCCGGGUAGUC
rnacentral:rRNA from 1 species